UACAGAGGGUGCGAGCGUUAAUCGGAAUUACUGGGCGUAAAGCGCGCGUAGGCGGCUUUGCAAGUCGGGUGUGAAAUCCCCAGGCUUAACCUGGGAACUGCAUUCGAGACUGCAUUGCUAGAGUAUGGGAGAGGGAAGUGGAGUUUCCGGUGUAGCGGUGAAAUGCGUAGAUAUCGGAAGGAACAUCAGUGGCGAAAGCGACUUCCUGGACCAAUACUGACGCUCAUGUGCGAAAGCGUGGGGAGCAAACAGG
rnacentral:rRNA from 1 species